GUGACCAAUAUAUCAAGCUAUUAACCAAGGUCUAGCCUGACUAAUAGCAAGGCAACAAAAAUUGCGCGUUGGAGGCAGGCAUUGCGCAUUAUGAGAAUCUUUAGCCCUUAGUGAAAUUAUGGAACGUAAGACUAGUAGCAAGUGCUGUAGCUCCCUCGCAUCCAAUGUGAGUGAGGUUCUUGUUGUGACUCAAAUGUAUCUCUCUUUAAUUUGUGGAGCAUCUACACUGCAUUGGUGUUUGAAAAUGCGAGUCUGGAACACCUGAUUUUAUGGAGCGACUUCUAGGAGCUGCACGCUUCCUGUCACAGCAAAGGCAUUUUGAUAUAUCUCAACGUACAAAAACUGAGAGUAAUGUUUUAGAGCUGCAUUGUAUCCGUAAGUGUAGUUCUUGGAUGGUGGAGCCAAUGUUGAAAGCAGCGCUGUGUAUCCUUUUUAUUUCGUUGGUUAAUGUAUAGCCAUGGUCUUAUCAAUUUGGAGUUUCAAGCAUACAGUAAUUAGAAAAUUAGCCCAUCUUCCUAGAUGUGUUCCUGAAUCCAAUAAUGCAAAUGGUUAGCUUUGUACAGUAGUCGUACGUUAUAUGCUUCUUUCGCAUAGAAAAACCAUGCAUUCAAGCCACAAGAUUAAAAUAGGAGGUAAGAAUAUGCAGAGCAAGUUCUUGUUUCUGUUUCUUUUCAUUUCUCUCGCCCUACACUUCCCGACCUCUUCGUAUCCUCCUCCCCAAUAACCACCCUGCAGUCAGUUAUGUUAGUGUAUUGUUUCGUUCGGGAAAGGGUCAGCUGUGAGUUCUAUGAUGCGUUAUUGCACAAUUAUCCUACAGCCUUCCUUGUUUGCUAAUUUCCUCUUACUGUUGUCAUUUGGAUUUCAUGUUUCUUUGUUUAUCUUAGUCUCGGAUAAUGCAAUAUAUUGCCGCUACGCUGAUCAUGAUUCAUAAUGCUGUAUCUGCUAAUUUGUGCUAUGCCAAGGCUGUGCAGUCAGCUAAAAUGCGAGGCCGAUGAAUUUUUUUAGGCGCAGUUUGCAGCAAGGUAGGCUAACCCAAAGGCCCAGACUGCCAAAACAAAACAUGAUACACAUUUCAACGACUCAUUUUUUUAAUUUGCUCACUGGUGAUAAUCUCAAAGACGGUCUGUUAUAAGCGAAUCACAUGGAAAGUUUUCUGAAUUGCAAGAUGUCUUCUGUACCAUUAAUUUUUGCAACAGUUGGAGCACCUAUCCCCCUGCAGAAUCUUUGCCUAGGAUCAUGCCAGAUUUACAAAUGAAAGAUUCAUGAAGGUUUAACGUAGGAAAACUUCAAUUUCUGUUCCUUACACGAAGAUUUUAUAGGAUGCAAGAAAAUGAUUAAAAACACGUUUCAA